rnacentral:rRNA from 1 species
AUUGAACGCUGGCGGCAGGCCUAACACAUGCAAGUCGAACGGUAGCACAGGAGAGCUUGCUCUCUGGGUGACGAGUGGCGGACGGGUGAGUAAUGCAUGGGGAGCUGCCCAAUCGAGGGGGAUACCAGCUGGAAGCGGCUGCUAAUACCGCAUACGCCCUGAGGGGAAAGGUGGGGACCUUCGGGCCUACCGCGAUUGGAUGCACCCAUGUGGGAUUAGCUAGUUGGUGAGGUAACGGCUCACCAAGGCGACGAUCUCUAGCUGGUCUGAGAGGAUGACCAGCCACACUGGAACUGAGACACGGUCCAGACUCCACGGGAGGCAGCAGUGGGGAAUAUUGCACAAUGGGGGAAACCCUGAUGCAGCCAUNCGCGUGUGUGAGAAGACGUCGUGUAGUAGACU